CUUCCGUAGGGGAACCUGCGGAGGGAUCAUU
rnacentral:rRNA from 1 species